CAGCAGCCGCGGGAAUACGUAGGUCCCGAGCGUUGUCCGGAUUUAUUGGGCGUAAAGGGAGCGCAGGCGGUUUAGUAAGUCUGAAGUUAAAGGCAUUGGCUCAACCAAUGUAUGCUUUGGAAACUGUUAGACUUGAGUGCAGAAGGGGAGAGUGGAAUUCCAUGUGUAGCGGUGAAAUGCGUAGAUAUAUGGAGGAACACCGGUGGCGAAAGCGGCUCUCUGGUCUGUCACUGACGCUGAGGCUCGAAAGCGUGGGUAGCGAACAGGAUUAGAGACCCCAGUAGUCCCUGUCUCUUAUACA
rnacentral:rRNA from 1 species